GCAGCAGUGGGAGAAUUUUGGACAAUGGGCGAAAGCCUGAUCCAGCAAUGCCGCGUGAGUGAAGAAGGCCUUCGGGUUGUAAAGCUCUUUUGUCAGGGAAGAAACGGUGAAGGCUAAUAUCCUUUGCUAAUGACGGUACCUGAAGAAUAAGCACCGGCUAACUACGUGCCAGCAGCCGCGGUAAUA
rnacentral:rRNA from 1 species